UAUGAUGCAAUGAGGUUACUUGAUGUUUCGCGAACAGUUUUGGAACUUGAAAGUUCGCAACAAUGCCGGCCGAAAUGGGCAAGCGCCUUGCAUUUACAUUGCUAGCAUUAGCUUUGUGCAUGGCCGUACAUGUCACAGGGAAGAGACAUCGUCCCCAUACCGGUAUCAAUGUGACAAUUGCUCACGGUAUGUGCCUCGUUGGUGGCCUUGCACUUCCGGAAGGAUAUACGCUUUAUCUCCGUAAGCCUUGCAUAGGAAUUGAGUGCCAUGCGAAAACGCACAGAAUUUUAUUAUUGGGGUGCUAUUAUAACGAUGACAAAUAAAGGAAAUUUGCCGACA
rnacentral:misc_RNA from 1 species